ACUUUAACAAAUGCCAAUUAGGCAGGAACAAAACGAAUAAGACUACCCAAUUCGAAAGAAUAUGGUGCAAAGACAAAAAUACAGUCAAACAUGAAAAUGGGGAGCUUACAAUAAACAUAUAGGACUGGUAAACCUAAAUGCCACCACAGUAUGAAUAAACUUAUGAAAGUAAGUUGGGGUCACGUUACUGUCAAAAGUAACUAUAGUCGAAGUCGCAGACCACCUAUAAAGGUUCUCAAAAGUGUCGUGCACUGUCAAGUGACAAAGCUCUACAAAAAGUAGAGAUAUGGUUUUUUACUCAGUAUAGCCAUAAAAAGGAAGAGUCCGAGACUGUUCUUUUCAAUAUGAAAAGUUCGUGACUAAAUCAUUUUUAACCAUAACCCACCAAAAAAAAAAAAAAAAAAACAAUCAGAUACUGUUGUAGUCUUAACAGUAAACUAUGCCAACUAGGGAUCGGGUGAACUCAAUUUUAUGUGUUGCUCGGCACCUUACGAGAAAUCAAAGUCUUUGGGUUCUGGGGGGAGUAUGGUCGCAAGGCUGAAACUUGAAGGAAUUGACGGAAGGGCACCACCAGGAGUGGAGCCUGCAGCUUAAUUUGACUCAACACGGGGAAACUCACCAGGUCCAGACAUGACUAGGAUUGACAGAUUGAUAGCUCUUUCAUGAUUUUAUGGGUGGUGGUGCAUGGCCGUUCUUAGUUGGUGGAGUGAUUUGUCUGGUUAAUUCCGAUAACGAACGAGACCUUAUCCUGCUAAAUAGCCAGGCUGGCUUUUGCUGGUCACUGGCUUCUUAGAGGGACUGCGGUAGCAUCUAGCCCGCGGAAGUUUGAGGCAAUAACAGGUCUGUGAUGCCCUUAGAUGUUCUGGGCCGCAUGCGCGCUACACUGACAGAGCCAGCGAGUUAUUCACCUUGGCCGGAAGGUCUGGGUAAUCUUGUGAAACUCUGUUGUGCUGGGGAUAGAGCAUUGCAAUUAUUGCUCUUCAACGAGGAAUUCCUAGUAAGCGUGAGUCAUCAGCUCGCGUUGAUUACGUCCCUGCCCUUUGUACACACUGCCCGUCACUACUACCGAUUGAAUGGCUUGGUGAGAUCUUCGGAUUGGCUUUGGGGAGCCGGCAACAGCACCCUGUUGCUAAAAAGUCGAUCAAACUUGGUCAUUUAGAGGAAGUAAAAGUCGUAACAAGGUUUCCAUAGGUGAACCUGCGGAAG
rnacentral:rRNA from 1 species